rnacentral:rRNA from 1 species
AACGAACGCUGGCGGCAGGCUUAACACAUGCAAGUCGAGCGGCAGCACGGGAGCUUGCUCCUGGUGGCGAGUGGCGAACGGGUGAGUAAUAUAUCGGAACGUAUCCAAUAAUGGGGGAUAACUAGUCGAAAGAUUAGCUAAUACCGCAUACGCCCUGAGGGGGAAAGCUGGGAUCUUCGGACCUAGCGUUAAUGGAGCGGCCGAUAUCUGAUUAGCUAGUAGGUGAGGUAAAAGCUCACCUAGGCGACGAUCAGUAGCUGGUCUGAGAGGACGACCAGCCACACUGGAACUGAGACACGGUCCAGACUCCUACGGGAGGCAGCAGUGGGGAAUUUUGGACAAUGGGCGCAAGCCUGAUCCAGCCAUUCCGCGUGAGUGAAGAAGGCCUCGGGUUGUAAAGCUCUUUCGCAAGGGAAGAAAACUUAACCUCUAACAUAGGUUGAGGCUGACGGUACCUUGAUAAGAAGCACCGGCUAACUACGUGCCAGCAGCCGCGGUAAUACGUAGGGUGCGAGCGUUAAUCGGAAUUACUGGGCGUAAAGCGUGCGCAGGCGGCCUGAUAAGUCAGAUGUGAAAGUCCCCGAGCUCAACUUGGGAACUGCGUUUGAAACUAUCAAGCUAGAAUAUGUCAGAGGGGGGUAGAAUUCCACAGUGUAGCAGUGAAAUGCGUAGGAGAUUCGUGGAGGAAUUACCAAUGGCGAAAGGCAGCCCCUGGGAUAAUAUUGACGCUCAUGCACGAAAGCCGUGGGGAGCAAA